rnacentral:rRNA from 1 species
UAUGACGGUACCCUUUCGAAUAAGAGGUUGCUAACUCUGUGCCAGCAGCAGCGGUAAUACAGAGACCUCGAGCGUUAUCCGGAUUUACUGGGCGUAAAGCGUCUGUAGGGGGUUUGUUAAGUUCCAAGUAAAAUCUUAAGGCUCAACUUUAAGUUCGCUUGGAAAACUAAUAAACUGGAGUCCAGCAGAGGUGCAUGGAACUUGCGGUGUAGGAGUGAAAUCCGUUGAUAUCGCAAGGAACACCAAAGGCGAAGGCAUUGCACUGGGCUGGUACUGACCCUGAGAGACGAAAGUGUGGGGAGCAAAACGGAUUAGAUACCCGUGUAGUCCACGCCCGUAAACGAUGGAUACUAGAUGUUCGGGGAUUCGACCCCCUGGGUGUCACAGCUAACGCGUUAAGUAUCCCGCCUGGGAAGUACGGCCGCAAGGCUAAAACUCAAAGGAAUAGACGGGGAUCCGCACAAGCGGUGGAGCGUCUGGUUUAAUUUGAUAGUAAGCAAUGGACCUCACCAAGGUUUGACAUCCUAUGACAACCCUGGAAACAGGGCUUCCUUCGGGCAUAGUGACAGGUGCUGCAUGGUCGUCGUCAGUUCGUGCCGUGAGGUGUUCCGUUAAGUCGGGAAACGAACGAAACCCUCGUCGCAUGUUACAAAUUUCAUGCGAGACUGCCCGGGUCAACCGGGAGGAAGGCGGGGAUGACGUCAGAUCAGCAUGGCCCUUAUACCUUGGGCUACACAGGCGCUACAAUGGCCGGUACAAAGGGUUGCAAAACCGCGAGGUGAAGCUAAUCCCAUAAAGCCGGUCCAAGUUCGGAUUGGAGGCUGCAACUCGCCUCCAUGAAGUUGGAAUCGCUAGUAAUCGUGGAUCAGCCAUACCACGGUGAAUACGUUCCCGGAUCUUGUAC